CCAGCAACUUGCAAGAAUGUAUAGCAAUAGCUAUUUGCACUAAUAAUGUUUAGUGUGAAAUCGACUAUGUCGAAUAAAAUUCUGGGUAGAAUUAUGAUAAUGACAUUAGCUAUUCAUAAGUCUUGACCAAAUUACGUGCCAGCAGUCGCGGCAAUACGUAGAAGCCAAGUGUUAUUCAUCUUUAAUAGGUUUAAAGGGUACUUAGACGGUAAAUAAAGCCUUUAAAGGGUACUAGUUUGCUAGAGUUUUAUAUGAAGGGGUUUUAAAGUACUGCUGGUGUAGAGAUGAAAUUCAGUUAUACCUUACAUGGCACAGGUUAAGGCGAAGGCAUCUUCUUAUGUAAAAACUGACGUUGAAGGACGAAGGCUUUGUGUCUCGAACAGGAUUAGAUACCCUAGUAGUCUAAGCAGAAAAUGAUGAAUGUCAUAGAUUAGAUGUAAUUUGAUCUAUAAAUGAAAGUGUAAGCAUUCCACCUCAAGAGUAAUUUGGCAACAUUGGAACUGAAAUCAUUAGACCGUUUCUGAAACCAGUAGUGAUGUAUGUUGUUUAAUUUGAUAAUCCGCAAAAAACCUUACCACAACUUGAAUAGAUAUAUUUUAUCAUACAAGCGCUGCACGGCUGUCUUUAGUUAAUGUCGUGAGACUUUGGUUAGUUCCAUUAAAUUAACGUAAACCCUUACUUUAUUUUUAUAUAAAGUAGUUCACCGCUAUAUUGGAUGUGAUAACAGGGAUCAAGACAAGUCAUCAUGG
rnacentral:rRNA from 1 species